rnacentral:lncRNA from 1 species
CCUUGGGCCAAACCGUCACCCCUGGGCCACAGGCAGCCACGGACCUCGCCUUUCCCACUUGGUUAGAGUCGGCUCUGCCGGGAGAAAGCGAUUCCAGAAUUCCCUAAGUUAAAGGAAUUUCUUACUCCUUCUUGAGCGCCAUCCAAGGGCCAGGCCUUAGUCUAGGAACUGGCAACACCGUGGCGACCACGUCAGACAAGAUCGCUGCCCUCAUUGAGUUCCCAGGUUGGCAGGGGAAACAAAAAUGUAAUAAAUAACUGCACUUUGCAAGAAGAGCUAUGAAGAAAAAACAGGGUGAUGGGAGAGAGAAUGCUUGGAUGUUGAAGGGAGGCCUUUCUGAGAUGGCGACAUCUUGAGCUGAAUAAAGAAGGAUGAGAAAGGAUGGGGCUUGCAAAGUUCUGGCUUCAAAGAAUUCCAGGCAGAGGGAACAAGAGUGAAGUCUCCAGGGGAAGCCAGCUUAGUGUUUGGAGACUAGAAAGAAGGGGUGUGCGGCUGGAAGAUGCUGGAGGUAGAGGACGGAAACUCAAAAGAUGAUUGAAGAUUAAAAAACAAGAUGAUUGAGGCUGGACUUCUCAAAACCUUGGUGAGUGGGAAGCCACAACCGCCUGCAGGGCCAACCUGGUCUUGUAAAUGAUUAAAGCGGCAGGUGUGAUGCAUUAGGGAAUGGUGGGGCCCGUGGCAGGACUGCUUUAAAGGGGGUGGCCAUUACUGAAAUGUGCCCUUGGGGCCAUGCAGAAACAAUGGCCCAGGGCUCCAGAAGAUCCAGGUUUUUUAAGAUUUUGAUUUUUAUAGCCCAUGUUGCAGAAAAUAAAACAUAUCUGUAGGUGUGCUGCAGCCCAGGGUGAUGGCAAUAUCUGCUCUCCUCUCACUCCUGGGUGAUCUGCACCAGGAUGGGCAGCAGGCCAGUGACCUUCAGAGGCCCAGGCCUUUGAAGGAUGAGGGUGCUUAGCCCUGUGUGAACCCACUCUCCCCUGCACCUUGAACCAGGGCUUUCUGAGACUGCUCUCCUGCCUGCAUGCCCCCAUCUCCUAACAAACAGGAGCUCCAUCUCAGACUCAAAUGAUCCUCUGCCAGGUGUUUCCGUUGCUUUGUCCAAAGGCCUACACAUGCGCCAAAGUUCAGGGUUAUCUCCCCUCCACCUUUCCCUUUGUCUCCAGCCACCUUUCUGCUGACUGAUUUUGUUGUUGUUUCUUUUUAUAAUUCCAUUUGGGCUAUCAUGCGGCCCGAUCUUCCAUCUCAUUCCACAUCCAGCUGCAGCCUGAGCUUGAGCGUUUGUGAGCUUUGCAGCCAGAUAUGAACAGAAGACAGAUUCAUUUCCUGCUGCCUGCUUCUCCAACCCCAAAUCUCCCAGUUUGAUCCGAGAGCCCUGAAGAUUUGCCUUCACCCGGCGCCCCCCAGAUGCUUCUUUUUAAGCCUUGCUUGUAAAUAGGUGUCAGUAAGGGUCUCACCAUGCAGGAUGUGGGCGUGUGGGUGCUCCAGAUCCCCACACCGGCUGUCACCAUCCCCCUGCUGUUGCCAGUGCAUCCCUUGAGGAUGCCUGGCAGGUUACACCCCACCCCGGGGGCAAAUGGUGACUGACAACAGAACAAGUGCUCACCUGCUUGCCCCACAGCAGGACAGUUCAGUGGGAGGAAUUUGUUCUAGAGCACCCUGGAUCAGGCCAAGGCUUUCCCCUUCCAUAUUCGGCUUCUUUUGCUCCUCUAAUAAGUCACGCAUGUGGAGCCCUAAGGAGCUAAAAGAAAAUUGGAAAUGAGCUUAGCUGGCAAGAACAGACACAGGGGUAGAGGGGAGUGAAUGUUCUGAGAAAUAGGGUCAACAGCAAACAGCUCACUAGCACCCAAACAUCCUGUUGCAAGCAUUCAGCUCACAGCCCACCUGCACCCAAGCUUCCUGUCUGCAAGCCUUCAGCCCAGACAGCACAACUUUAUAAAGUCCCCUGCAGCCCCUGCCUUUUUGCAGACAGCAUUCCCUCUGCUAUGUUGCUCGUUGCUCCCUUGGAACAUAUGUCCCGCUUUUCUCUAAUAAAUCUACCUUUCUUUCCCAACAAUUGUCUUGGUAAAUUCCUUCACCACCUGUGACACUGACCCCAGGGGGUCAGUUUUUUAUUUGUUUGUUUGUUUGUUUUGAGACAGAGUCUCACUCUGUCGCCCAGGCUGGAAUUCAGUGGUGCCCUCUCGGCUCACUGCAAGCUCUGCCUCCCAGGUUCAAGUGAUUCCUGCCUCAGCCUCCUGAGUAGCUGGUAUUACAGGCAUCCACCACCACGCCCGGCUAGUUUUUGUAUUUUUAGUAGAGAUGGGGUUUUACCAUGUUGGCCAGGAUGGUCUCAAACUCCUGACCUCAAGUGAUCUGCCCGCCUCGGCCUCCCAAAGCGCUGGGAUUACAGGCGUGAACCACCGAGCCCAGCCAGCCCCCAGGCAGUCGUUGACCAUGAUAACGUGCACCUGAAUCCCUGUCUCCAGCUCUGCAUCUGAGAAACUCGGACAUAAGACAGCUCCUUACAACACUACAGUGGGAGAGGGGGUGUCUGUGGGCAGAAAAGGGGCAGCGGUGGGCUAAGUGGAGACCAAGGCAAAACACUCCCAUGCUUCCAUUACCAAAGGCAAGGCAUGUAAAUCCUACAUGUCAUAGUGAAAAAUUAAACAAUCUCAACCCUCCAACAACAAGGAACAGACUCAAUAUAUCAUAAAACAUGCUUAUGAUACAUAUUAUGCCAUCAUUAAUGGUGCUGUAUGAAGUAUUAAAAAAGUUGAUAUUUAUUGAAGCUCAAGAAAUGGGUACAUGGGGGUUCAUUUUACUAUUCUCUCUACCUUUGUAUAUGUUCGAAAUUUUCCGUAAUAAAAUGUAUGUUAAAAAUGGAUGGAGAAAUUGCUGUAGUAUAUUGAGUGGUAUUUAGAAAGAACUCACACUGUAUAGUUAGGUGAAAAACUGGCUAAUAUAUAACAUAGUAAGUCUAUAUGUAUGUGGAUUUUUUUAAAUAUUAAGAAAUUGAGAGGCCAGAUGUGGUGGCUCACGCCUGUAAUCCCAGCACUUUGGGAGGCCAAGGUGGGCGGAUCAUGAGGUCAGGAGUUCGAGACCAACCUGGCCAACAUGGUGAAACCCUGUCUCUACUAAAAAUCAAAAAAAAAAUUAGCCAGACAUGGUAGUAAGGCCUGUAAUCCCAGCUACUCAGGAGGCUGAGGCAGGGGAAUCGCUUGAACCCAGGAGGUGGAGGUUGCAGUGAGCCGAGAUCACGCCACUGCACUCCAGCCUGGGUGACAGAGUGGGACUCCGUCUCAAAAAAAGAAAAAAAAAGGAAGAAAGAAUUUGAAAGCUGGGUGCUGUAGCUCACACCUGUAAUCCCAGCAACCGGGGAGGCUGAAUGGGAGGAUGGCUUGAGCCCAGGAGUUCAAGGCUUCAGUGAGCCAUGAUUACACCACUGUGCCCCAGCCUGGGUAACAGAACAAGACCCCAAAGCUUAAAAAAAAAGAAAAGAAAAGAAAUGGAAAUGUACUUUCCCAUUGACCCAGCAAUUCCACUAUAGAGAAAUCCACACGGGAAAGGACAUAGGUACAGCCUAAAUGUCCGUUAAUAGGAAAAUGGCUUUUAAAACUGUACCAUAUUAAGCUGGGCUCAGUGGUGCAUGCCUGUAGUCGCAGCUACUUAAGAGGCUGGCUCAUGCCUGUAAUCCCAGCACUUUGGGAGGCCAAGAUGGGAGGAUCACUUGAGGCCAGGAGUUUGAGACCAGCCUGGGCAACACAGUGAGAACCCUGUCCCUACAAAAAAUAAAAUAAAAAAAAAUAGCCAGAUGUGGUGGCCAUUGCCUGUAGUCCCAGCUGCUUGGGUAGCUGAGGUGGGAGGAUCACUUGAGGCCAGGAGUUGCAGGCUGCAGCGAGCUAUGAUAGUGCCAUUGCACUCCAGCCUGGGGGACACAGCAAGACCUUGUCUAUAAAAAAGAAAGAAAGAAAGAAAGAAAAUAAAGAAAAACAAGGGCCGGGUGUGGUGGCUCACACCUGUAAUCCCAGCACUUUGGGAGGCUGAGGCAGGUGGACUGCUUGAGGUCAGGAGUUCGAGACCAGCCUGGCCAACAUGGUGAAACCCCGUCUCUAUUAAAAAUACAAAAAUUAGCCGAGUGUGGUGGUGUGUGCCUAUAGUCCCAGCUACUCAGGAGGCUGAGGCAGAAGAAUCACAGGAGAAUCGCCUGAAUCUGGGAGGUGGAGGUUGCAGUGAGCCGAGAUUGUGCCACUGUACUCCAGCCUGGGUGACAGAGCGAGACUCUGUCGCAAAAAAAAAAAAAAAAAAGAAAAGAAAAGAAAAGAAAAAAGAAAGAAAAGAAAAGUGUCUAUAUUUCUAUGUAUGUAAAGAAUAGUCCAGAGUGCUAUUUAUUACCCUGAUGAAGUGGCCAUCUGAUCUGAGAGGUGACAAGGGUUGAAGGGAAAGGACCAGGAGUGGGGCUGGCUGACUACUGAGACUUAAGACUUAUCUGUUAUAUUUUAAUUUUUUACAAGAAGAAUAUAUUUGUCUAUCAUGCAUAAUUAAAAAUUAAUAAUGCCCAAGACUACAUGUAUAUACACUAAAGUGUUCACAAGGAUCCUCUCUGGGUGAUGAGAGUUUCUUAGUUCUUUUCUAUAAUUUAUGAAUUUUCUACUGCAAGCAUAUAUGACUUCAGCAAUCAAGGUUGGGGGAGGGAGGAAGGGAGAAGAAAGAAAAAAGAAACUAAAGUAUCAUUAUUGUGCCAAGAUACGCCCCCACUUUCACCUCCGGGGUGCAUCCAGUUCAUUCUGCCUACUCAAGGCCUCCCCAUGCAAGGUUUCCUGAUCCCCAGCCCCUCCCUCCAAAAAGAGGCUGCUCUUUCCUCAGUGCUCUCUGAGCCUUGGAUAAGACCCCCCAUAGCAGACACAAACCCCACAGGCCCACACUGGAUGGAUGUGUAGGUUUCCAUACCCAGGGCAGGCCCUCCCUGCUGGCCUCUGACCUCCUGGCAGCAUCCCCUGACCCCACUCUCCACCCUGAGCCUGGCCCCUGGGCAUCAAUUAUAGUUGGUGAAAUUUACAUUAUUCAGAGACCUUCAACAGAGAAGAGGAGUCCUUCACAUGUGCCUUUCCCUCCCCACUUGGGGCUCCUUGUGCAUCCCAGGGGUCUUCUUACCAUUUCUCCCACCCCAGUACUCCCAAGGGUACAUUGCCACCCCAGCUUCUUGCUCACCUGUUCUUUCUCACUAAGCACCUAUUGUGUGCCAGAUAUUGUUCUGGGCACUGAGAUACAGCAAAUAAGUGAGCGGCCCACAGUGACAUGCUCAGUAAAUGGCAGAGACAGGACUUGACCCUAGGCCUUCAGAUGCCAUGUCCGACACUGAAUCCAGAACCUCAUACCCCAGAACCAUUGAGAGUGAAAUUCUUGUUUUUAUUAGAGCCACAGCAGCAAUCACAAUUCAUUUCUUGGCACUCAUCUGCCAGUGUGGUUAUUCUGAAGUUCAGGGCGAUUACUUCACAAUUGCCUUUGCUGUUCUUAUUCCUUCCUUGACUGAAUAAAUCUUUAAGGUAAUAAGAAGGGAAAAUACAGUCAGAUCUCCUCUGGGCCUAUAAAACCAAGAUGUGAGAUCAUUAUAUUGCUUCAUGUGCUAAGUCAAAAAGAUAGAAUAUUUUAAUGCAUCAUUAUAAAGCAUCUUUUCCUAUAACGACAUAAUAUAUGUCAACUUAUAAUUGCUUUCCUUCAAAUACUGCUCCUAUUUCCAAAGAGGGAGAUCUUUAAUUUGCAAGUUUGCCUUGUCUGACUUUUUUGUUUUGUUUUUGUUUUUUGUUUUUUGGAGAAAGGGUCUUGCCCUGUUGCUCAGGCUGGAGUACAGUGGCAUAAUCACGGUUCAAUGCAGCCUCGACCUCCUAGGCUUAAGCAAUCCUCCUGCCUUGGUCUCCUUAGUAGGUGAGACCACAAGCACAUGCCACCACGCCUGGCUAAUUUUUUAUAUUUUUAUUUUGUAGAGACGAGGUCUUGCUACAUCCCCCAGGCUGGUUUCAAACUCCUGGGCUCAAGCAAUCUUCCCAUCUCAGCUUCCCAAAGUGCUGGGAUUACGGGUGUGAGCCACCGUGUCCAGAGUGUGACUUAUUUCUUAAGUAUACACCCUGCCACUUAGGUAUUUAUUUAUUUAUAU